rnacentral:rRNA from 1 species
AUUGAACGCUGGCGGCAGGCCUAACACAUGCAAGUCGAGCGAGUGGCGGACGGGUGAGUAAUGUUUGGGGAUCUGCCCGAUGGAGGGGGAUAACUACGGGAAACGGUGGCUAAUACCGCGUACCAUCGGAUGAGCCCAUAUGGGAUUAGCUAGUAGGUGGGGUAAAGGCUCACCUAGGCGACGAUCUCUAGCUGGUCUGAGAGGAUGACCAGCCACACUGGGACUGAGACACGGCCCAGACUCCUACGUGAGGCAGCAGUGGGGAAUAUUGCGCAAUGGGCGCAAGCCUGAUGCAGCCAUGCCGCGUGAAUGAAGAAGGCCUUAGGGUUGUAAAGUACUUUCGGCAGGGAGGCGUUACCCGCAGAAGAAGCACCGGCUAACUCCGUGCCAGCAGCCGCGGUAAUUC